AAGCAUUUUGAAUGGUUAUCUCAUAUGGAAAAUCCCGUGUCUCACAGUUGAAGGUUCUCAAAUGGAAAAUCCCCUUUCUCACAGUUAAAGGUUCUCACAUGAAAGAGCAAAGAGCCCUAGACGAUCACCGAAAUUCUUCACCGACGUUGUUGAGGACGGCAGCCCAGUGUACAGGCAUAUGCUUGAAUUCCGGCUUCCCAUCAUCAUAAAGUGUACAGAGCAGUUGCUGAACGCCGUUAGCCUCAUCGGGUCGGUGGAGUAUUGAUUGAAGAGGACGAAAACCGAAAGAUUUGGCUCUCCGUCAAAGCCUCCCCUGAUUCCAAAACCAAAUUUAGUAAUGUUAUGAUUUCCUUUGUACGCUGAGGAAGGUUCACAAAAAGCCCCAAAAGAUAAAAAAUAGCAGAGAAAACAAGUCUUCAAACAGACAAAACUCCUAAAGACCGAUUGGGCAACUCUCCGAUCCGGCCACACCAUUUUCUCCGAUACUUGAAUCCAAUCACAGUUACAUAUGGAAUUGAUGAGUCAUACAAGUUAUCAGUUCUUACAUCUGGGAAGCUUUCUUUGUAAUCCUUUUUUUGCUGCUUAGCUACAUAUGGAGUUUAAUUUCUCAAUGAACAUUGUUGUUGAUGUAUGCCUUCUUUGGUACUUGCUUAAAAACUUGACAAUUAUGUAGUUUUCUUAGGCAAUUUUUGAGACUUCUUCACUUGUAAUUAACUCUGUUUCAGACCUUUUAACA